UUAGAUAGCUCCGUUAGUGGAGCAUGAGACUCCUAAUUACAAGGUCAUGGGUUCGAGUCCCAUGGGCAAAA